UACGGAGGGGACUAGCGUUGUUCGGAAUUACUGGGCGUAAAGCGCACGUAGGCGGAUUUGUAAGUUAGGGGUGAAAUCCCGGGGCUCAACCUCGGAACUGCCUUUGAUACUGCAAAUCUCGAGUCCGGAAGAGGUGAGUGGAAUUCCUAGUGUAGAGGUGAAAUUCGUAGAUAUUAGGAAGAACACCAGUGGCGAAGGCGGCUCACUGGUCCGGUACUGACGCUGAGGUGCGAAAGCGUGGGUAGCAAACAGG
rnacentral:rRNA from 1 species